rnacentral:rRNA from 1 species
GUAAGACUGGGAUAACUCCGGGAAACCGGGGCUAAUACCGGAUGCUUGAUUGAACCGCAUGGUUCAAUCAUAAAAGGCGGCUUCGGCUGCCGUUUACAGAUGGACCCGCGGCGCAUUAGCUAGUUGGUGAGGUAACGGCUCACCAAGGCGACGAUGCGUAGCCGACCUGAGAGGGUGAUCGGCCACACUGGGACUGAGACACGGCCCAGACUCCUACGGGAGGCAGCAGUAGGGAAUCUUCCGCAAUGGACGAAAGUCUGACGGAGCAACGCCGCGUGAGUGAUGAAGGUUUUCGGAUCGUAAAGCUCUGUUGUUAGGGAAGAACAAGUACCGUUCGAAUAGGGCGGUACCUUGACGGUACCUAACCAGAAAGCCACGGCUAACUACGUGCCAGCAGCCGCGGUAAUACGUAGGUGGCAAGCGUUGUCCGGAAUUAUUGGGCGUAAAGCGCGCGCAGGCGGUUUCUUAAGUCUGAUGUGAAAGCCCCCGGCUCAACCGGGGAGGGUCAUUGGAAACUGGGGAACUUGAGUGCAGAAGAGGAGAGUGGAAUUCCACGUGUAGCGGUGAAAUGCGUAGAGAUGUGGAGGAACACCAGUGGCGAAGGCGACUCUCUGGUCUGUAACUGACGCUGAGGCGCGAAAGCGUGGGGAGCGAACAGGAUUAGAUACCCUGGUAGUCCACGCCGUAAACGAUGAGUGCUAAGUGUUAGAGGGUUUCCGCCCUUUAGUGCUGCAGCAAACGCAUUAAGCA